rnacentral:rRNA from 1 species
UAGGGAAUCUUCGGCAAUGGGGGGAACCCUGACCGAGCAACGCCGCGUGAGUGAAGAAGGUUUUCGGAUCGUAAAGCUCUGUUGUUAAGGAAGAACGAGUGUGAGAAUGGAAAGUUCAUGCUGUGACGGUACUUAACCAGAAAGGGACGGCUAACUACGUGCCAGCAGCCGCGGUAAUACGUAGGUCCCGAGCGUUGUCCGGAUUUAUUGGGCGUAAAGCGAGCGCAGGCGGUUAGAAAAGUCUGAAGUGAAAGGCAGAGGCUCAACCUCUGUAAGCAAUUGAAACUGUAUUUCUUGAGAUGUGGGGAGGCAAGUGGAAUUCCUAGUGUAGCGGUGAAAUGCGUAGAUAUUAGGAAGAAUACCGGUGGCGAAAGCGACUUGCUGGACACAAACUGACGCUGAGGAACGAAAGCGUGGGUAGCAAACAGG